rnacentral:lncRNA from 1 species
GCUGGCCCGGGUGCUAAGCCCCUCAUUGCCCGGGGCCGGCAGGGCCGGCCGGCUGCUCGGAGUGCAGGGCCCAACAAGGCCACGCCCACCCGGAACUCCAGCUGGCCUGCAAGCGCCGCCCGCAGCCGCGGUUCCCGCCGGCGCCUCUCCCUCCACACCUCCCUGCAAGCUGAGGGAGUGGGCUCCGGCCUUGGCCAGCCCAGAAAGGGGCCCCCACAGUGCAGCGGUGGGCUGAAGGGCUCCCCAGGUGCAUCCAAAGUGGGAGCCCAGGCAGAGGAGGCGCCGAGAGCGAGAGAGGGCUGUGAGGACUGCCAGCACGCUGUCACCUCUCAGAACCAGGGGAGAAACCUGAGAAGUGUCUUUCAGCACACUACCUGGAUCCUAAUGGCUACUUCUGCAGAGAGAACACCAGAGGGGAAAGGAAUCUAUCAGAAGGCAAGGUGUGUUUGUAUCCAAGCACUAGAAGACUUCCUCAUGGACACCCAUGAGUUUCAUUUUUGAGAGUUCCGUGUAAUAAAGCCCAUCAACAAUUUUCAGCUUUGGUGUAUAUCUCAAUCAGAAGCCCAGGAGUCCUUCAGACUAUAACAGCUUGAGGUUAAAGAUUCUUCAUUUUCAGGUUCACAGGAAUGCAUGAAAUUUUAACUACUGGCUGAAUAAUUCCCAGGCCAAAUGGAUUUAAAUCUCCUCCACAUAUUUUUCAAUUAGUUAUUCAGUUUUAAGGGGUCAAUUGUGAGGACAGGCAAAGAAAGAAGUGAAAAUAUUAUAAAAUUAAAAAAAAACUUAAUUCAUUAAAUUAUGAGACCAAAUUGCAAUGGAUGGUGGAUCAGUCUCAG